rnacentral:rRNA from 1 species
GGUUUAAAGGGAGCGUAGGCGGACGCUUAAGUCAGUUGUGAAAGUUUGCGGCUCAACCGUAAAAUUGCAGUUGAUACUGGGUGUCUUGAGUACAGUAGAGGCAGGCGGAAUUCGUGGUGUAGCGGUGAAAUGCUUAGAUAUCACGAAGAACUCCGAUUGCGAAGGCAGCCUGCUGGACUGUAACUGACGCUGAUGCUCGAAAGUGUGGGUAUCAAACAGGAUUAGAUACCCUGGUAGUCCACACAGUAAACGAUGAAUACUCGCUGUUUGCGAUAUACAGUAAGCGGCCAAGCGAAAGCGUUAA